CUUCAUCGAGCCGAGCCAGAGGGGCUGUUCGCGGUCCUGGCCGUAGGUGGCGAGGACGGCCUGGGCCUC
rnacentral:antisense_RNA from 1 species